rnacentral:rRNA from 1 species
UGCAAGUCGAGCGGACAGAAGGGAGCUUGCUCCCGGAUGUUAGCGGCGGACGGGUGAGUAACACGUGGGUAACCUGCCUGUAAGACUGGGAUAACUCCGGGAAACCGGAGCUAAUACCGGAUAGUUCCUUGAACCGCAUGGUUCAAGGAUGAAAGACGGUUUCGGCUGUCACUUACAGAUGGACCCGCGGCGCAUUAGCUAGUUGGUGAGGUAACGGCUCACCAAGGCGACGAUGCGUAGCCGACCUGAGAGGGUGAUCGGCCACACUGGGACUGAGACACGGCCCAGACUCCUACGGGAGGCAGCAGUAGGGAAUCUUCCGCAAUGGACGAAAGUCUGACGGAGCAACGCCGCGUGAGUGAUGAAGGUUUUCGGAUCGUAAAGCUCUGUUGUUAGGGAAGAACAAGUGCAAGAGUAACUGCUUGCACCUUGACGGUACCUAACCAGAAAGCCACGGCUAACUACGUGCCAGCAGCCGCGGUAAUACGUAGGUGGCAAGCGUUGUCCGGAAUUAUUGGGCGUAAAGGGCUCGCAGGCGGUUUCUUAAGUCUGAUGUGAAAGCCCCCGGCUCAACCGGGGAGGGUCAUUGGAAACUGGGAAACUUGAGUGCAGAAGAGGAGAGUGGAAUUCCACGUGUAGCGGUGAAAUGCGUAGAGAUGUGGAGGAACACCAGUGGCGAAGGCGACUCUCUGGUCUGUAACUGACGCUGAGGAGCGAAAGCGUGGGGAGCGAACAGGAUUAGAUACCCUGGUAGUCCACGCCGUAAACGAUGAGUGCUAAGUGUUAGGGGGUUUCCGCCCCUUAGUGCUGCAGCUAACGCAUUAAGCACUCCGCCUGGGGAGUACGGUCGCAAGACUGAAACUCAAAGGAAUUGACGGGGGCCCGCACAAGCGGUGGAGCAUGUGGUUUAAUUCGAAGCAACGCGAAGAACCUUACCAGGUCUUGACAUCCUCUGACAACCCUAGAGAUAGGGCUUUCCCUUCGGGGACAGAGUGACAGGUGGUGCAUGGUUGUCGUCAGCUCGUGUCGUGAGAUGUUGGGUUAAGUCCCGCAACGAGCGCAACCCUUGAUCUUAGUUGCCAGCAUUUAGUUGGGCACUCUAAGGGGACUGCCGGUGACAAACCGGAGGAA